CCUACGGGUGGCUGCAGUGGGGAGUUUUCGGCAAUGGGGGAAACCCUGACCGAGCAACGCCGCGUGAGUGAUGAAGGUCUUCGGAUUGUAAAGCUCUGUUAUAAGGGAAGAACGGCAGCUAGAGGAAAUGCUAGCUGUUUGACGGUACUUUAUGAGAAAGCCACGGCUAACUACGUGCCAGCAGCCGCGGUAAUACGUAGGUGGCAAGCGUUAUCCGGAAUUAUUGGGCGUAAAGAGUGAGCAGGCGGCAGUUUAAGUUUGGAGUCAAAGCGAGGGGCUCAACCCCUUAACGCUCUGAAAACUGAACAGCUAGAGUGCGAGAGAGGUAAGUGGAAUUCCAUGUGUAGCGGUGAAAUGCGUAGAUAUAUGGAGGAACACCAGUGGCGAAGGCGACUUACUAGCUCGAUACUGACGCUCAGUCACGAAAGCGUGGGUAGCAAACAGGAUUAGAUACCCCAGUAGUC
rnacentral:rRNA from 1 species